AUGUUAAAAAAUUUUAUCUCAGAAUUUUUAAUCAAAAUGUCAUUACUGGAUCUUCAGGUGAAAUGUCUAACCCUACUAAACCUACACAAUAAUGUAAACAAGAGCAAAUGUGAAUUUAUUGAAGCAAAAAUUGCAUUUCUAGCCUGCUUUUCCAAGUCUUUUUUUCUCUUUUUUUCUGACUUUUAUUUGACUUGUACCUGUCCACUCCUCCGGUUGCAAGUGGAAAGCAGUAUACCAGGUGAGCUUCUGAGCAAGUUUACUAUUUCAGAAAAGCCAUACAGUAAGUAUAGAGCAGGUUAUGUGAUGCAAAUGUCAAAAUGCAUUAGUUUACAAAUUAUGCACCAUGAGAAAAGCUUUUUGAUUUCAGAACCAUGCAAGAAUAAGUCUUUAUGAAUCAAUAAUCUGCCUGUUAAAUAAAAAGUAAUGUUAAAAGGAAUAAAAGUGUUUUACUAGUGUUGUAAUUGUAUAGGUAGCCUAUUUUUUCAAUGUUGUAUAGGUAGCUAAGUUUUGCAAAAAAUGUAGGUAGAGGGAUGUUUUUUCAAUGAGUUUAGGUUGAAAAUGUACAUAAAAUACAAAGACUUGAACUAAACCACUGAACUCCUUUUUAGAGAUUUAAUAUUCUGAACCCCGUAUAAACAAAACAGCUCAAACAUUAUUCAAAUAUCUUCUUUUGUGUUAGGCACUGCAGAACAAAGAAAGUCACAUAAGGUGAGUAAACAAUGACAGAAUUGUCAUUUUUGGGUGAACUAUCUCUAAAAUAACGAAAAGCAUUCUGCUCAAAACAUCACGUGUGGCCAGAUUAAAAUUUCAAAAGUAUAUAUGUAACAUGCAAGAUGUAUAAACAGCAACAGAUGGCCACUUGCGAUCAAAUGACCCGAGACAGAUUUCAAAACCAGGUGCAAACACAUCCACAGACUCUGUAAAGUAUUAGAUUCAAGGUUCAACCACUAAAAAGCAGCUAUAGCCAACAAACUUAAAGCUCACAAAAAGAAUUGGCAUAACAUUAAUUUGCCUUUCAUGCUGCAGAACAAUGUGGCCAGGUCUUGAGUUCAUGCAUGCAUACCUGUAAGGGAGUGUACUUUAAAAGCUUGCCUGGAUAGGCCUAACUUGACACUCAUUUUCCAGCAAAGGGUGAAACCAGGUUGACUUGAGCUCCACCCCUUCAAUGUGUAAACAAAUUUCUGGUCCAGCUGGCUCUAUUCACCCAUUGGCUGAUACUGUCCCUGACAAUCACAGUGACAUUAUGUAAGCACUGUCUGCAGGUGGAGGUGUGUCCCUCCAUAUUUCACUGGCACUCGAGCGUGUCAAGUUAACCUUGUCUGCAUCUGUCACAAGCUCAGCUGGGUUCAGCAAACUCAACCCUACUGACACUGUGGUAGUUUGAACAGCACAGAUACUGAGGACAGACAAGAACGAGUACUUUACAAGCGACAGGUGAAUGUGUAAAACCGAACAAGUGAGCAGACACACUAGAGCACUUGUGAUUAGGCCAUACACUGUGUCUUAAUUACUACUCAUUAGCAUUUAAAAGUAAGUGGCACUGGGGCCAUCAAACAGAGAUUUGCUUACUGAGUUAUAGCACUGAGCAAUUCACCACCACACAAAUCCCUCUGAAAAAAGCAUUCACUGAAUAAUCAGAGCAGACAGGUUACAAAGGGCAGCUCAUACAGUUUGAAAUGAAUUACAACCACAGAAAAAAAGUGGGAAACACUAAUCCACAUGCUCUCUGAAACAAUAGGAUUUUCAUUAAAUGCGCUAGGAUUUCUUAAUCAUCCAAGAGCCUCGGAAAUGCACACUAAUAAUAAGCAUGAAAACUGAGCAUGCGGGGGCAAUACUCUGCAGAACACAGUGAAACUGUAGCACGGUGACCCCACAAAUAAUCCUCCUUUAUUUAUUUGAACAUGCUGGUCUUUCAACAUUCAAUGCAAGAAUGUCUCACGCACUAAAUUUUCAUUUCUCACUCUCUCUGUAUUCUUUCUUUGCCUCUUUAUGGCAUGCAAAGUCGAAAAGUGAAUUAAAUCUCUUUAGAGAACUGGAUCAAGGGAGAUAUUUUCUGUUCAAACAGCCAUUUGGGAGUAACAAUGUUUUCACAUGGAUUUUUUUUGUUUUUGUUUUUUUUUGGCUUCACAUUUGCUGCAAAGGUCCAAUGAGCUGUAAAACUGCACAUGAUACACAACAUAAAAAUAACUGCAUAGAAUAAUGUAGAUUAAUAAUAUUCUGCACCUGUCAUAAAACCAUAAACCUGUGCACACCGCAUAAUAAAGUCUGUUUAAAAGGAAAAGCUAUACAUUGCAUAGUAUACAUAUUAUAGUACACUAUUAUAUAGUACAGUAUGUGCAUUAACCAUUGUAAGUGUGCACACAAUUUUCAAUUAAAUUAAUAAAUUAAAAAUAAAAGUUUUGCAUUGCAGUGUAGUGUAGAAAACUUAGCACAGUAUAUUAUAGUUUACUCGAGUUCAGUGAAAUAUAUGAUGUAUUGUCAUAUGUGCAAUAAAGUAUAGUGGUAUGGCUAUUAUAUAGUAUAGUAUAGUAUAGUAUAUGCAACUGCCCCAUAAAUCUUUGCACAAUCACCUCAGAUCAAAAGUCAAAACAAAUGUGUUUCAUCGUACAGUGAAUUAUAUCACAGUAUACUGCAUUAGAGUAUACUAUAGUAUACAUUACAGUGUAAAUUGUAACGUAUGCCUAACUGUUAUAUGACACAUGCAAUAAAUCUUUGCACAUGUAGAAUGGUUAAGGCUAUAUGCAUUGCACAAUAUAGUUUGGUACAGAACAGUACAUCACUGUUGUUAUCUGUGUACAACCUCAAGUCUAUAUGGUGCAUAGUGUAUUAAUGUACAGAUCACAUAGUACAGAAUAGUAGUUCAUAUAAUGUUAUUCUAACGAAAGACCUACUUGAUGCUGUCUUAAUAAACGGUUUACAUAAUAAACGCUAAAUUGCACGGUUUCUUUAGUAAAGCAACAAAACCUGGCACUGAAUGUCGGUCACAAUGCAUGAAGCCCCAUCAGCCCUGCAAACACAUGAAAUAUACACAGCAACAGCUCAUUAUAUAACCAGCCGGGGUGAACCGAGUGACAUCACGACGGGAUACACUCAAUGGCUGCGUCUCAAAGCCUAGUAGGGCUGCCUAGACAGCAUCACUGGAGUCUGCUCGGAACGCGCCGAACAAAUCACACCGCGUUUUUAGAAACCUUACGAUAUGGUGCGCUCGCUAGGGUUUGGGACACAACCGAUGUCUAUUAAAACACUGUCACAGUGAAGCGGAGACAAAAGUGUUGCAGUCUACUUGUAAGUGCGAUUCCCAAACAGACACGGGCGAUAAAUGCAUUUUUAGAAACCGCAUCGCCGUGGAUUAGACGGGUUGAAGUCGCAACUAUACUACAGACUAAACUUCCGCGAUUGUGUUUUCACAUCAAAAGGCUUCCAGUAACAGUGUUGACUCAGCAGAAGUGCGCACAGCUAGGACGAGUGUCAGUUUGUUUUUAAAAAAGUACAGCUGACUGAUCAAUAACUCGCAGAUAAAUGGAUGUUUAUAAGACUAUCUGGAGCGAUAAAAGGAGGUGGGGUGGCGCAGUUACUCAGCCCCGGCGAGAGCGCUCCCUGCUCGGGCUUCCAGCUCGCAAGUAACCGCCCCGCUUACCGUGCGCGACUUCAAAGUAGUUAUAUAGUUCUAUAAUUUUUAAUCGAGAUGACAUACAGCACAUCUUAAACAUCUCGCCUGGUCGACUGCAGACAGAUUGACAUAAUAAUUAGUGCAAUUGUCACAGUUAAUAUUUACAAAGGUUUUUAAAUAAACGUCACACUCUGUUCCUCCUUUAGUUCCCAGCCAUUUUUCCAAGAUCGCAAGCAAAUCCAAAAGACACUUUUGUGCUGGUAAAUUAGAUGAACGGACUUACUGUACGGUAUAACGGGCAAGGAAGCGCGAGGCUCUCCGUGCGUUAUUCUCGCGCACUGCCGGUGGAAUCGUCUGCCCUCCUCUCGUACAAUGAUGUCUGCUGCAGCCAAGCUAAUAGCUCUGUCGCUCCGUGCCCCCACCUCCAGUGAGUGAGUGAGUGAGUGUGUGACGGAGGGAGUGAGUGUGUGGAGGCGUGUGUAAGAGUGUGUGUGAAUGUGUAAUCCAAAUAUGGAGCAGUUGGCCGGCCCAGUUAAAGAGAUGGGAUUGGAGGCUGCUCCAUUAAAAGUAUGCUAUAGAAAAACAUAAUGACUUUUGUGGCACCAUAAACAAAUGUUAUAUUUUUAAGUUAAUAUUAAAUGUCACUAGUUACUCUAAUCUGAUAUACACCACAGCGUUCCGGGAGUGCUGCUAUUUAGUACAAAACCACUGGGAAGGGAAACUGCACAUAGUUU
ensembl:lncRNA